rnacentral:rRNA from 1 species
UACGUAGGGAGCGAGCGUUGUCCGAAGUUACUGGGCGUAAAGCGCGUGUAGGCGGACCGUUAAGUCGGUGGUGAAAUCCUGGAGCUCAACUCCAGAACUGCCUUCGAUACUGGGAGUCUUCGAGUCCGGGAGAGGUGAGUGGAACUGCGAGUGUAGAGGUGAAAUUCGUAGAUAUUCGCAAGAACACCAGUGGCGAAGGCGGCUCACUGGCCCGGUACUGACGCUGAGGUGCGAAAGCGUGGGGAGCAAACAGG